rnacentral:rRNA from 1 species
GACGAACGCUGGCGGCGUGCCUAAUACAUGCAAGUCGAGCGGACGAAUCGAAAGCUUGCUUUUGAUUCGUUAGCGGCGGACGGGUGAGUAACACGUGGGCAACCUGCCCUGUAGACGGGGAUAACACCGAGAAAUCGGUGCUAAUACCGGAUAACACGAAAUGUCGCAUGACGUUUCGUUGAAAGACGGCGCAAGCUGUCGCUACAGGAUGGGCCCGCGGCGCAUUAGCUAGUUGGUGAGGUAACGGCUCACCAAGGCGACGAUGCGUAGCCGACCUGAGAGGGUGAUCGGCCACACUGGGACUGAGACACGGCCCAGACUCCUACGGGAGGCAGCAGUAAGGAAUCUUCCGCAAUGGACGAAAGUCUGACGGAGCAACGCCGCGUGAGCGAAGAAGGCCUUCGGGUCGUAAAGCUCUGUUGUUAGGGAAGAACAAGUAGCGCAGUAACUGGCGUUACCGUGACGGUACCUAACGAGAAAGCCACGGCUAACUACGUG